GGGGACGUAGCUCAGCCCGGCAGAGCGCCUGCUUUGCAAGCAGGAAGUCGUGGGUUCAAGUCCCAUCGUCUCCA
rnacentral:tRNA from 2 species